UACAAUUGAAAAUAAAAUUUCUCAAUUUUAGAGCAUAAAAGAUAAAGUUUGCUACAACCUAAAGCACACAUAUUCCGAGCACAACAAAGUUUGCAAUAACUGAAAAGAAAGCAGGCAUAUUCCAGUGCAACUCCUGCAGGAUAACAAAAGCAAGAAGCAAUGCAAACUGGGAAAUCUCCACCCCCUGUGAAAUGGAUACAUUUCGCGCAGUUUCUGCUGCUUGCUGACUGGCUUUUGUCUCUGCUGCCUGUGAAGAGAAGAGUGCACGCACGAGUUGGAUCACUUAACAAAAGCAACAUAUGAAAGUGCACAUGCAAAAUUAUUGCAAGAGGAACAUAGAUAUACUGACGUAAGUACAGAGCCUGAGUGUUCAGACAGUAUGGGCCGGGGGAAGCGAAAAAAGCGGCCAGUUGUCAUGUCCAGCGAAGAUGAGGAGAAUGAUGACAUCCAUCCUCUUCCUCCUCCACCCAGGGCUCUGCGAAUGCCUCCACCUCUUCCUCCUCCACCUGGGGCUCUGCGAACGCCUCCACCUCUCCCUCCUCCACCCGGGGCUCUGCGAAUGCCUCCACCUCUUCCUCCUCCACCCGGGGCUCUGCGAACGCCUCCACCUCUUCCUCCUCCACCCGGGGCUCUGCGAACGCC